CUGGGAAACUGCCUGAUGGAGGGGGAUAACUACUGGAAACGGUAGCUAAUACCGCAUAACGUCCAAGACCAAAGAGGGGGACCUUCGGCCUCUUGCCAUCAUGUGCCCAUGGGAUUAGCUAUAGGUGGGGUAACGGCUCACCUAGCGACAUCCCUACUGGCUGAGAGGAUGGCCAGCCACACUGAACUGAGACACGGUCCAACUCCUACGGAGGCAGCAUGGGGAAUAUUGCCAAUGGGCGCAAGCCUGAUGCACCAUGCCCGUGUUGAAAAGCCUUCGGUUGUAAAGUACUUUCCGGGGAGGAAGGUGUGAGGUUAAUAACCUCCAAUUGACGUUACCCGCAAAAACACCGGCUAACUCCUGCCACAGCCGCGGUAAUACGAGGGUGCAGCGUUAAUCAAUUACUGGGCGUAAAGCGCACGCAGCGGUCUGUCAAGUCGAUGUGAAAUCCCCGGGCUCACCUGGGAACUGCUUCAAACUGGAGGCUAAGUCUUGUAGGGGGGUAGAAUUCCGUGUACGGUGAAAUGCGUAAGAUCUGGAGGAAUACCGGUGGCGAAGCGGCCCCCUGACAAAGACUGAACAGGAUUAUACCCUGGUAGUCCACGCCGUAAACGAUGUCGACUUGGAGGUUGUGCCCUUGAGGCGUGGCUUCCGGAGCUAACGCGUUAAGUCGACCGCCUGGGGAGUACGGCCGCAAGGUUAAAACUCAAAUGAAUUGACGGGGGCCCGCACAAGCGGUGGAGCAUGUGGUUUAAUUCGAUGCAACGCGAAGAACCUUACCUACUCUUGACAUCCAGAGAACUUAGCAGAGAUGUUGGUGCCUUCGGGAACUCUGAGACAGGUGCUGCUGGCUGUCGUCAGCUCGUGUUUUGAAAUGUUGGGUUAAGUCCCGCAACGAGCGCAACCCUUAUCCUUUGUUGCCAGCGGUGGCCGGGAACUCAAAGGAGACUGCCAGUGAUAAACUGGAGGAAGGUGGGGAUGACGUCAAGUCAUAUGGCCCUUACGAGUAGGGCUACACACGUGCUACAAUGGCGCAUACAAAGAGAAGCGACCUCGCGAGAGCAAGCGGACCUCAUAAGUGCGUCGUAGUCCGGAUUGGAGUCUGCAACUCGACUCCAUGAAGUCGGAAUCGCUAGUAAUCGUAGAUCAGAAUGCUACGGUGAAUACGUUCCCGGGCCUUGUACACA
rnacentral:rRNA from 1 species